GGGGAAUCUUGCGCAAUGGGCGAAAGCCUGACGCAGCGACGCCGCGUGGGUGACGAAGGCCUUCGGGUUGUAAAGCCCUGUGGGGAGGAACGAACCGUCCGGGGGCCAAUACCCUCCGGGCCUGACGGUACCUCUUUAGCAAGCAUCGGCUAACUCUGUGCCAGCAGCCGCGGUAAGACAGAGGAUGCGAACGUUGCUCGGAAUUGCUGGGCGUAAAGCGCGCGUAGGUGGCCUUGUAAGUCUCGUGUGAAAGCCCUCUGCUCAACGGAGGAAGUGCACGGGAUACUGCGAGGCUGGAGUACAGAAGAGGACAGCGGAAUUCCCGGUGUAGAGGUGAAAUUCGUAGAUAUCGGGAGGAACACCAGUGGCGAAGGCGGCUGUCUGGGCUGAUACUGACACUGAGGCGCGAAAGCGUGGGAAGCAAAC
rnacentral:rRNA from 1 species